UUCGGAUCGCAGGCUGCAACCCGCCUGCGUGAAGUUGGAAUCGCUAGUAAUCGCGGAUCAGCAUGCCGCGGUGAAUACGUUCCCGGGCCUUGUACACACCGCCCGUCACACCAUGGGAGUCGGGAACACCCGAAGUCCGUAGCCUAACCGCAAGGGGGGCGCGGCCGAAGGUGGGUUCGAUAAUUGGGGUGAAGUCGUAACAAGGUAAC
rnacentral:rRNA from 1 species